UAACAACUGGCAAAUGACAACCUGGGAUUACUGCAUGCUGCUUAAACAAAUGAUUAGCCCACAUAACAUUUACUAAAGGAUUCGUGGUUUUAAGGUCAUAGAAGAACAUACCCCGGUCACAAAUUUUAAUUGAGCAUCCCCAAAGAUUUGCUUUCAUCUGCCACCUGUGGACAGCUGCCCACUCUUCUAAAUGACCUUUGUCUGAAACUUCAGCCAUGAGACUGCAAAAUGAGUUUCCUGUGUACCAUUCCAAGCACAGCUUUCCAGUCCAGUCCAGUCAACCAUUUUCCUGUGAUCCAACAACCCAUAUGGAUAGAAACUUUAAUAUAUGAAUGUGGUAACCAGAGUUUACUUAGGGAGUGAAGUAGAGACACAGUUUUUUAUAACAUCAUUUUAUAGUCUAUCAAACCCUUUCUAUUUUUAGUAUUUUACAUUUUGUGAUAAUACAUUUAGGUUUUUAGAUCUUAUUAAUAUGUAAUCAUAUUAAAUUGAAAAAUAUAUCAAGAGCAAAAAAAGGUUUUAGGGAAUAGGCCAAAGGACGGGGUUGGGAAAGAUGAAAAUG